rnacentral:misc_RNA from 1 species
AACUGAUACUACCUGCGGGAACCUGCGGAAGGAUCAUUACUGAAGUGCUUGGAGAUGUUGCUGGCUUCUUUGUUUGAGAAGCAAUGUGCACUCUUCCAACUUUUCACAAUUUCCUUCACACCCCUUGUGCACCCUUGGUAGGGCCCCUUUUCAGGCUUUUAUAACCUGACAAAGGGACGACUCUAUGUGUUGCUACCCUUCACACUUAUUGAAUGUAUGGUGUCAUUAUGAACAUAAAAA